UACGAAGGGGGCGAGCGUUGUUCGGAUUUACUGGGCGUAAAGGGCGCGCAGGCGGCUCAUUUUGUCAGGCGUGAAAGCCCCGGGCUUAACCUGGGACUGCGUUUGAUACGGAUGGGCUGAGAGUUCGGGAGAGGCGAGCGUGGAAUUCCCAGUGUAGAGGUGAAAUUCGUAGAUAUUUGGGAAGAACACCGGUGGCGAAGGCGGCGCUCGUGGACCGAGACGUGACGCUGAGGCGCGAAAGCGUGGGGAGCGAACGAGGAAUUGAGAAACCCCGUGUA
rnacentral:rRNA from 1 species